AUUGCUGGGAGGUUUUCUGUCACAGAUGUGUAGCUGAAUCAGUGGAUCAACAUCUCAUUCAAUCCGUAUCACUGAAGUUCAGCGUUAUACGCUAAUUAAAUGUAAAGGCAAUUCCUGUUUGAGCUGACAUAUGUAGCAGCUUUUACCGUGAAUGCGGUCUUUGCUGAUGUGGGAACAUUUUUUAAAAUGUAGAUUGCGCUGUAGCGCUGCUCUUCAGCGAUACGGAUUGAAUUGAGCCCUUAAGUUCUUUAAAAUGCACGAAUACACGUACACUCACACACAUUCUUUAAGUUUUUUGAUUUCUAUUCAUGUGGUAAAGUCCACAAAUCAGAGUACGUCUGCUAAUGCUUUUACAAACUGGUCAAACAAGGACCCCUGCUGGUAGGAAGAUUAAACUGUGCUGGGCAUGUCAAUCUAUAGAUUCAUAUAAAGUAGUCUACGUUUUCCUUCUUUGAGUUAUAAAUAUUUUAUCAUGUUUUAAAACAAAGCGUAAAUGAGAUGUUAUUCAGAGCACUGAUGUUUUGUCCAAAUCCUCUCUGUAUUACAGGUUUAAUAUACGAAUCAUCUCUGUAUUACAGGUUUAAUAUACGAAUCCUCUCUCUCUUACAGGUUUAAUCUACAAAUCCUCUCUGUAUUACAGGUUUAAUAUACAAAUCCUCUCUGUAUUACAGGUUUAAUAUACAAAUCCUCUCUGUAUUACAGGUUUAAUAUACAAAUCCUCUCUGUAUUACAGGUUUAAUCUACAAAUCCUCUCUGUAUUACAGGUUUAAUCUACAAAUCCUCUCUGUAUUACAGGUUUAAUCUACAAAUCCUCUCUGUAUUACAGGUUUAAUCUACAAAUCCUCUCUGUAUUACAGGUUUAAUCUACAAAUCCUCUCUGUAUUACAGGUUUAAUAUACAAAUCCUCUCUGUAUUACAGGUUUAAUAUACAAAUCCUCUCUGUAUUACAGGUUUAAUCUACAUGUGCUUUAUGAUUCA